UAGGGAAUCUUCGGCAAUGGACGAAAGUCUGACCGAGCAACGCCGCGUGAGUGAAGAAGGUUUUCGGAUCGUAAAACUCUGUUGUUAGAGAAGAACAAGGACGUUAGUAACUGAACGUCCCCUGACGGUAUCUAACCAGAAAGCCACGGCUAACUACGUGCCAGCAGCCGCGGUAAUACGUAGGUGGCAAGCGUUGUCCGGAUUUAUUGGGCGUAAAGCGAGCGCAGGCGGUUUCUUAAGUCUGAUGUGAAAGCCCCCGGCUCAACCGGGGAGGGUCAUUGGAAACUGGGAGAGUUGAGUGCAGAAGAGGAGAGUGGAAUUCCAUGUGUAGCGGUGAGAUGCGUAGAUAUAUGGAGGAACACCAGUGGCGAAGGCGGCUCUCUGGUCUGUAACUGACGCUGAGGCUCGAAAGCGUGGGGAGCAAACAGG
rnacentral:rRNA from 1 species